GACGAACGCUGGCGGCGUGCUUAACACAUGCAAGUCGAACGGAAAGGCCCUGCUUUUGUGGGGUGCUCGAGUGGCGAACGGGUGAGUAACACGUGAGUAACCUGCCCUUGACUUUGGGAUAACUUCAGGAAACUGGGGCUAAUACCGGAUAGGAGCUCCUGCUGCAUGGUGGGGGUUGGAAAGUUUCGGCGGUUGGGGAUGGACUCGCGGCUUAUCAGCUUGUUGGUGGGGUAGUGGCUUACCAAGGCUUUGACGGGUAGCCGGCCUGAGAGGGUGACCGGGCACAUUGGGACUGAGGGACGGCGCAGACGCCUACGGGCGGCAGCAGUGGGGAAUAUUGCACAAUGGGCGGAAGCCUGAGGCAGCAACGCCGCGUGCGGGAUGACGGCCUUCGGGUUGUAAACCGCUUUCGCCUGUGACGAAGCGUGAGUGACGGUAAUGGGUAAAGAAGCACCGGCUAACUACGUG
rnacentral:rRNA from 1 species